rnacentral:rRNA from 1 species
GCACCUUCGGGUGUGAAUUAGCGGCGAACGGGUGAGGAACACGUGAGAAAUCUGCCUUCAACACUGGGAUAACUCCGUGAAAACGGGGCUAAUACCGGAUAUGAGAUCUACAGGCAUCUGUGGAUCUGGAAAGUUUUUCGGUUGAAGAUGAUCUCGCGGCCUAUCAGCUUGUUGGUGAGGUAAUGGCUCACCAAGGCGACGACGGGUAGCCGGCCUGAGAGGGCGACCGGCCACACUGGGACUGAGACACGGCCCAGACUCCUACGGGAGGCAGCAGUGGGGAAUAUUGGGCAAUGGAGGAAACUCUGACCCAGCGACGCCGCGUGCGGGAUGAAGGCCUUCGGGUUGUAAACCGCUUUCAGCAGGGAAGAAGCGAAAGUGACGGUACCUGCAGAAGAAGCACCGGCUAACUAUGUGCCAGCAGCCGCGGUAAUACAUAGGGUGCAAGCGUUGUCCGGAAUUAUUGGGCGUAAAGAGCUCGUAGGUGGUUCGUCACGUCGGAUGUGAAACUCUGGGGCUUAACCCCAGACCUGCAUUCGAUACGGGCGAGCUUGAGUAUGGUAGGGGAGUCUGGAAUUCCUGGUGUAGCGGUGGAAUGCGCAGAUAUCAGGAGGAACACCAAUGGCGAAGGCAGGACUCUGGGCCAUUACUGACACUGAGGAGCGAAAGCGUGGGGAGCGAACAGGAUUAGAUACCCUGG